rnacentral:misc_RNA from 1 species
UUUAUUGCGCUUGGACCAUUUUUCUAUAGGACGUGUUGGAGGGUACAGUCAGCCCGGUGGGUAUAGCGGUUCUGUCGGUGUGUUUUGAUGAGAACACCGAGGAUUCCGACAACGAGGCUACGACGACGGCCUACAAAGCCAUUCAGUUCACCGACAACAUUGACAAGGUUUUGCUAGACGUUUCGUUUAGUGGGAUUCAUCGAUUGGUGUCUUCAGUGACGUCACAUAUAUUUAUCAGCGGACUCUGUGAUGGUGUGCAGGAAACGACAGGGGACAGCAGUCAUCUCGGCCAGAUGAUGAGAUUCCUACGUCAUAUUCAAAACCUUUGCUCAGAGAUGAAUAUUUCUUAUAUGAAAGCAGGUAAGUGUCCACCAUGGUCCAGUGCUGUCCAGUAUCGUUGGUGGAUCCAAAGCUAGGUGGGGUGUGUGUGGGACAACGUUGGACAUUGCCAAAGAGAUACACAUAGCGGCCAAACCUAACACGAUCACGGUAUCCCAAGAAGCUGGGGACAUUCUGAGGAAAUUCGGACACAAAUUUGAGGAGGGGGAGGAGGAGGAUGUUAUUUCGACCAAUCAACCAAUGGCUGUGAUGGUGCUGACGUAUGGCAGACAUUAACCACGCCCACUGCCAGGGAUAAAACUGUCAGGGAUAUUUAGUGCUCAGUUAAUCUGUGAUGGUUUUCAUGUCACUUUCAAUUAGUAUUUUUGUAUGUAUAUCACAUAACAUCUGCUACCAAAAUAAAAAAAGAAUAAAUAAACGAGGAGAAACUACAAGUAAUGCCAGAAACUUUAAAACAUUCCAUGUUUGGAAUUGUGUCAUUUUAUAACAUUUAUACGAAUAAAAAUACUUCGUAUUC